rnacentral:rRNA from 1 species
UGGCAGACGGGUGAGUAACGCGUGGGAACAUACCUCUUGGUUCGGAACAACACAGGGAAACUUGUGCUAAUACCGGAUAAGCCCUUACGGGGAAAGAUUUAUCGCCGAGAGAUUGGCCCGCGUCUGAUUAGCUAGUUGGUGUGGUAAAGGCGCACCAAGGCGACGAUCAGUAGCUGGUCUGAGAGGAUGAUCAGCCACAUUGGGACUGAGACACGGCCCAA